rnacentral:lncRNA from 1 species
CAACCUGGAUAUAACUGUUCUUCACCUUCUUUUAGACGGCGUAAGAACGAAUCGUCAUAUCUCUGCUCUGGAUCUUCGUCGACUGGAUCUACAUCGACUGGAUCUUCAUGGACAGGUUCGUAUUCGAGAGGUUCUGUUUCGAGAAAAUCUUCGUCGGCUGUAUUCUCAACUACAUGUUCUCCGUAAACCGCACGAACCAAUCCAAUCAUAUCGUUACCAG